GAAGCUUGCUUCUCUGAUGUUAGCGGCGGACGGGUGAGUAACACGUGGAUAACCUACCUAUAAGACUGGGAUAACUUCGGGAAACCGGAGCUAAUACCGGAUAAUAUUUUGAACCGCAUGGUUCAAAAGUGAAAGACGGUCUUGCUGUCACUUAUAGAUGGAUCCGCGCUGCAUUAGCUGGUUGGUAAGGUAACGGCUUACCAAGGCAACGAUGCAUAGCCGACCUGAGAGGGUGAUCGGCCACACUGGAACUGAGACACGGUCCAGACUCCUACGGGAGGCAGCAGUAGGGAAUCUUCCGCAAUGGGCGAAAGCCUGACGGAGCAACGCCGCGUGAGUGAUGAAGGUCUUCGGAUCGUAAAACUCUGUUAUUAGGGAAGAACAUAUGUGUAAGUAACUGUGCACAUCUUGACGGUACCUAAUCAGAAAGCCACGGCUAACUACGUGCCAGCAGCCGCGGUAAUACGUAGGUGGCAAGCGUUAUCCGGAAUUAUUGGGCGUAAAGCGCGCGUAGGCGGUUUUUUAAGUCUGAUGUGAAAGCCCACGGCUCAACCGUGGAGGGUCAUUGGAAACUGGAAAACUUGAGUGCAGAAGAGGAAAGUGGAAUUCCAUGUGUAGCGGUGAAAUGCGCAGAGAUAUGGAGGAACACCAGUGGCGAAGGCGACUUUCUGGUCUGUAACUGACGCUGAUGUGCAAAAGCGUGGGGAUCAAACAGGAUUAGAUACCCUGGUAGUCCACGCCGUAAACGAUGAGUGCUAAGUGUUAGGGGGUUUCCGCCCCUUAGUGCUGCAGCUAACG
rnacentral:rRNA from 1 species